GACGAACGCUGGCGGCGUGCCUAAUACAUGCAAGUAGAACGCUGAAGGAGGAGCUUGCUUCUCUGGAUGAGUUGCGAACGGGUGAGUAACGCGUAGGUAACCUGCCUGGUAGCGGGGGAUAACUAUUGGAAACGAUAGCUAAUACCGCAUAAUAUUGACUAUUGCAUGAUAGUCAGUUGAAAGGUGCAACUGCACCACUACCAGAUGGACCUGCGUUGUAUUAGCUAGUUGGUGGGGUAACGGCUCACCAAGGCGACGAUACAUAGCCGACCUGAGAGGGUGAUCGGCCACACUGGGACCGAGACACGGCCCAGACUCCUACGGGAGGCAGCAGUAGGGAAUCUUCGGCAAUGGACGGAAGUCUGACCGAGCAACGCCGCGUGAGUGAAGAAGGUUUUCGGAUCGUAAAGCUCUGUUGUAAGAGAAGAACGAGUGUGAGAGUGGAAAGCUCACACUGUGACGGUAUCUUACCAGAAAGGGACGGCUAACUACGUG
rnacentral:rRNA from 1 species